rnacentral:rRNA from 1 species
UACAGAGGUCCCAAGCGUUGUUCGGAUUCACUGGGCGUAAAGGGUGCGCAGGUGGGUUGGCAAGUUCGAUGUGAAAGCCCCGGGCUUAACCCGGGAAUGGCAUUGGAAACUGCUGAUCUGGAGGAUCGGAGGGGGGACUGGAAUUCUUGGUGUAGCAGUGAAAUGCGUAGAUAUCAGGAGGAACACCGGUGGCGAAGGCGGGUCUCUGGGCCGAUACUGACGCUGAGGAGCGAAAGCAUGGGUAGCGAACAGG